rnacentral:rRNA from 1 species
UAGAGUUUGAUCCUGGCUCAGAUUGAACGCUGGCGGCAGGCUUAACACAUGCAAGUCGAGCGGGGAGAUGUAGCUUGCUACAUAUCCUAGCGGCGGACGGGUGAGUAAUGCUUAGGAAUCUGCCUAUUAGUGGGGGACAACGUUCCGAAAGGAACGCUAAUACCGCAUACGCCCUACGGGGGAAAGCAGGGGAUCUUCGGACCUUGCGCUAAUAGAUGAGCCAAGUCGGAUUAGCUAGUUGGUGGGGUAAAGGCCUACCAAGGCGACGAUCUGUAGCGGGUCUGAGAGGAUGAUCCGCCACACUGGGACUGAGACACGGCCCAGACUCCUACGGGAGGCAGC